AGUAAAGUGGCGCACGGGUGAGUAACACGUAGGUAAUCUACCUUCGGGUGGGGAAUAACCCAGGGAAACUUGGGCUAACACCGCAUAAUGCAGCGGCACCACAUGGUGACAGUUGUUAAAGCGGGGGAUUUUAGGACCUCGCGCCUGAAGAGGAGCCUGCGGCGGAUUAGCUUGUUGGUAAGGUAACGGCUUACCAAGGCGACGAUCCGUAGCCGGCCUGAGAGGGCGGUCGGCCACACUGACACUGACAUACGGGUCAGACUCCUACGGGAGGCAGCAGUCGGGAAUUUUGGGCAAUGGGCGAAAGCCUGACCCAGCAACGCCGCGUGAAGGAUGAAAUCCCUCGGGAUGUAAACUUCGCAAGAAUGGGAAGAAUUAGUAGGGGUUAAUACCCCCUAUGAUGACGGUACCAUUUGUAAGCUCCGGCUAACUCCGUGCCAGCAGCCGCGGUAAUACGGGGGGAGCAAGCGUUGUUCGGAUUUACUGGGCGUAAAGGGCGCGUAGGCGGCCAGCACAAGUCAGUUGUGAAAUCUCCGGGCUUAACUCGGAAAGGUCAACUGAUACUGUGCGGCUAGAGUGCGGAAGGGGCAACUGGAAUUCUCGGUGUAGCGGUGAAAUGCGUAGAUAUCGAGAGGAACACCUGCGGCGAAGGCGGGUUGCUGGGCCGACACUGACGCUGAGGCGCGAAAGCCAGGGGAGCGAACGGGAUUAGAUACCCCGGUAGUCCUGGCCUUAAACGAUGGAUGCUUGGUGUCUGGGGUUUUAUAGUCCCCGGGUGCCGUAGCUAACGCGUUAAGCAUCCCGCCUGGGGAGUACGGUCGCAAGACUGAAACUCAAAGGAAUUGACGGGGACCCGCACAAGCGGUGGAGCAUGUGGUUUAAUUCGAGGCUACGCGAAGAACCUUACCCAGGCUUGACAUGUAGUUGAAAGCCCAUGAAAGUGGGUCCUCUCGCAAGAGACGAUUACACAGGUGCUGCAUGGCUGUCGUCAGCUCGUGCUGUGAAGUGUUGGGUUAAGUCCCGCAACGAGCGCAACCUUUAUUCUUAGUUGCCAUCACGUCAUGGUGGGCACUCUAGGAAGACUGCCGGUGAUAAACUGGAGGAAGGAGGAGACGACGUCAAGUCAGUAUGGCCCUUAUGCCUGGGGCUACACACGUGCUACAAUGGCCGUUACAAAGGGCAGCCAACCCGCG
rnacentral:rRNA from 1 species